CCUGCACGUUGGGGGAGAGUCAGGUGUGGGUGCCAACCAUAGAACUGGAAGAUACCACUGGUCUCCUCAUUGGUUCCCAGGGUGAGCCCCAAGCUACCGGGCAGCCAUCUACCACUCCCUGCCAUGCUCUGCCCCCAGCAACUCUGCUCUGCACAGUCGGGGAGGCUGUACCUGGUAGCACCUGCCAUGCUCUGCCUGCCAAAGGCAUCCUGGCCUUCCCUAAAUUGGUGGCAUCAGUGAGUGAGUCUGGGUUGCAGGCCCAGUGUGGGAUGAAAUUCCACUGUCAGUUGUCUGGGGGGAUUUCUGGGCGCGCCCACUGCUGUGUCCAUCCUUGGGGGCCUACAGGGCUGGCCACAGAGUCUGGCUCCAGGACUAAAGAUGUGUGGACCAUGA
rnacentral:lncRNA from 1 species